GCGAAAGUGACGGUACCUGCAGAAGAAGCACCGGCUAACUACGUGCCAGCAGCCGCGGUAAUACGUAGGGUGCAAGCGUUGUCCGGAUUUAUUGGGCGUAAAGAGCUCGUAGGCGGUUAGUCACGUCGGAUGUGAAAACCCGGAGCUUAACUCCGGGCCUGCAUUCGAUACGGGCUGACUAGAGUGUUGUAGGGGAGACUGGAACUCCUGGUGUAGCGGUGAAACUGCGCAGAUAUCAGGAAGAACACCGGUGGCGAAGGCGGGUCUCUGGGCAACUACUGACGCUGAGGAGCGAAAGCGUGGGGAGCAAACAGGAUUAGAUACCCUGGUAGUCCACGCCGUAAACGGUGGGCGCUAGGUGUGGGGAACAUUCCACGUUCUCCGUGCCCGCAGCUAACGCUAUUAAGCGCCCCGCCUGGGGAGUACGGCCGCAAGGCUAAAACUCAAAGGAAUUGACGGGG
rnacentral:rRNA from 1 species